CCGUGGUGUGGCAAAGCUUGUAUCAUUUCCUUAUACCGCUCCCAAGCAUCAAAAAUAUAUUCUCUAUCAUUCUUCCUAAAACAAGUAAUUUGGUUCCUCAAUUG